GGGGCCGUAGCUCAAUUGGGAGAGCAUCGGCUUUGCAAGCCGAGGGUCGUGGGUUCGAAUCCCAUCGGCUCCA
rnacentral:tRNA from 1 species